UUCAGCUUUUUUCUCAUUAAACCCAAACUUAUAUUUUUAUUACAAAUCUAACAAUUCGGUCAAAAUCAAUUUCUGGGUCUUUCUUUUCAUACCCCAUUCAAUCUAUUAUUUUUCUUCUUUUUAGAUUAUAAGUUUAUUUUUCAACAUUAUCUACCACCACUAGACAAAUUGGUACACCAGGAGCCCAUUAGAUCUACAACACCGGUGGAGAUGGUGAAGCGAAUUGAGAGGGAAUCUAGAGCAUAGAGAAAGCUAAAGAAUAAAAAGAAAAGAAGAAGAAGAUCAAACCCACAUUUCAAUUACUCGGUCAAACUAAAUCCAACCCAAUUCAUUUCAAUUGUAAUUUUUCAGUCGGUUAGCCCUUACUGCUGGACGAGGCAUUUUCAGUUUCCAGUCACCAUAAUGCGGCGUGAGUUUUUGA